UUUUCUUCGGAAAGAUUAGUACAGCGGCGAACGGGUGAGUAACGCGUAGGCAAUCUGCCCUUCAGUGGGGGAUAACAUCUCGAAAGAGUUGCUAAUACCGCAUGAUAUUCUUGAACUUCAUGGUUUAAGAAUCAAAGAUUUAUCGCUGAAGGAUGAACCUGCGUCCCAUUAGCUUGUUGGUAAGGUAACGGCUUACCAAGGCUUCGAUGGGUAGCUGGUCUGAGAGGAUGAUCAGCCACACUGGGACUGAGAUACGGCCCAGACUCC
rnacentral:rRNA from 1 species